rnacentral:tRNA from 5 species
GCCGGAGUGGCGGAAUCGGCAGACGCACGGGACUCAAAAUCCCGCGAUGGCAACAUCAUGAGAGUUCGACUCUCUCCUCCGGCA